rnacentral:tRNA from 1 species
UAUUUCAGUUGGUAGAGUGCUUGCCUCACAUGCAAAAGACCCUGGGUUCAAUCCCCAG